rnacentral:rRNA from 1 species
UGCCUACGGGGGGCUGCAGUGGGGAAUAUUGCGCAAUGGGGGAAACCCUGACGCAGCAACGCCGCGUGGAGGAAGAAGGCCUUCGGGUUGUAAACUCCUGUCAUUUGGGACGAAAAAAAUGACGGUACCAAAUGAGGAAGCCACGGCUAACUACGUGCCAGCAGCCGCGGUAAUACGUAGGUGGCGAGCGUUGUCCGGAAUUAUUGGGCGUAAAGGGCGCGUAGGCGGCCUUGUAAGUCAGAUGUGAAACCCCCGGGCUUAACUUGGGGCAUGCAUUUGAAACUGCAGGGCUUGAGUGCAGGAGAGGUAAGUGGAAUUCCUAGUGUAGCGGUGAAAUGCGUAGAUAUUAGGAGGAACACCAGUGGCGAAGGCGACUUACUGGACUGUAACUGACGCUGAGGCGCGAAAGCGUGGGGAGCAAACAGGAUUAGAUACCCCAGUAGUCG